AUGAAGGUAGUAGUUUCAAAAUGG
rnacentral:miRNA from 1 species